AAAUAGCUUGCAGGGGCUAGAUAGAAUAAAUACAUUUAAGAUGAUACACUUCAGACCUGAAAGACGGUUGACAAAAGUAUCCGCACCCUGCUAACGGGUUACUCAAGCAGGAGGGCGAAAGUGGGUAUAAGUGAGGUGCUAGACCCCCAAAAAGUCCCCUCUAAAGGGACACAUCUAAGGACUAUUAUAGUCUAUGAUGAACGACACCAAGAGUUGGCUGAUAGCGACAUGAAAAGGACACGAACAGACACCGAAAGGAAAGCAGGUAGGGCAUGCAGACGCUUGUAGAAAGUUCGUUCAAAACUUGAAAUAGUUUUGAAGUUGUAACCC
rnacentral:sRNA from 12 species